CGGGGCUGGCACGGAGCUGCUGCCGCCGCUUGCGGGCAGAGGAUUAUCACCUCCAUGAGGGACCCGAGCCCUGCCAGAGAGGCUCCACGGCCACCGGCUCCUUCUCGCUGAUCCCUGCCGUUCCCCAGGUUUGUAACAAUGGUAAAGGAGGAUACUGUACGUGACAAUGAAAAUCCUGACCCAUCAGUAUGUGACAGAAAUGGCAUGAUUCCCAUGCAUGAGCAAAGCGAGGAGGGACCAACAGCAGAUGCCAAAGGUACUGAUGGGACUAUACAAACAGAAGAAACUGCUCUCUUGAAUCACUGUGCUCAGCCACCUCCGGAACCGAUAGCAGCCUCUUCAAUACCUGCAAGAACUUGGAGGCAAAUAUUUACUUGUCCUCCUCAGGGUUUACUGGCCCAAACAGUGACAAAUGGUA